rnacentral:tRNA from 1 species
AAGGAAGGGCGGAGAGCCAAGUGGAU